GAAAAGAUAAGUUAAUUAAACUACUGGGUUCAUACCCCAAUCAUAAAGGUUCUAUCCUUUUUUUUUCA
rnacentral:tRNA from 1 species